ACUGCCCGAUGGAGGGGGAUAACUACUGGAAACGGUAGCUAAUACCGCAUAACGUCGCAAGACCAAAGUGGGGGACCUUCGGGCCUCACACCAUCGGAUGUGCCCAGAUGGGAUUAGCUAGUAGGUGGGGUAAUGGCUCACCUAGGCGACGAUCCCUAGCUGGUCUGAGAGGAUGACCAGCCACACUGGAACUGAGACACGGUCCAGACUCCUACGGGAGGCAGCAGUGGGGAAUAUUGCACAAUGGGCGCAAGCCUGAUGCAGCCAUGCCGCGUGUGUGAAGAAGGCCUUCGGGUUGUAAAGCACUUUCAGCGAGGAGGAAGGCGUUGUAGUUAAUAACUGCAGCGAUUGACGUUACUCGCAGAAGAAGCACCGGCUAACUCCGUGCCAGCAGCCGCGGUAAUACGGAGGGUGCAAGCGUUAAUCGGAAUUACUGGGCGUAAAGCGCACGCAGGCGGUCUGUUAAGUCAGAUGUGAAAUCCCCGGGCUUAACCUGGGAACUGCAUUUGAAACUGGCAGGCUAGAGUCUCGUAGAGGGGGGUAGAAUUCCAGGUGUAGCGGUGAAAUGCGUAGAGAUCUGGAGGAAUACCGGUGGCGAAGGCGGCCCCCUGGACGAAGACUGACGCUCAGGUGCGAAAGCGUGGGGAGCAAACAGGAUUAGAUACCCUGGUAGUCCACGCUGUAAACGAUGUCGAUUUGGAGGUUGUGGCCUUGAGCCGUGGCUUCCGGAGCUAACGCGUUAAAUCGACCGCCUGGGGAGUACGGCCGCAAGGUUAAAACUCAAAUGAAUUGACGGGGGCCCGCACAAGCGGUGGAGCAUGUGGUUUAAUUCGAUGCAACGCGAAGAACCUUACCUACUCUUGACAUCCACGGAACUUGCCAGAGAUGGCUUGGUGCCUUCGGGAACCGUGAGACAGGUGCUGCAUGGCUGUCGUCAGCUCGUGUUGUGAAAUGUUGGGUUAAGUCCCGCAACGAGCGCAACCCUUAUCCUUUGUUGCCAGCGGUUCGGCCGGGAACUCAAAGGAGACUGCCAGUGAUAAACUGGAGGAAGGUGGGGAUGACGUCAAGUCAUCAUGGCCCUUACGAGUAGGGCUACACACGUGCUACAAUGGCAUAUACAAAGAGAAGCGAUCUCGCGAGAGCAAGCGGACCUCAUAAAGUAUGUCGUAGUCCGGAUUGGAGUCUGCAACUCGACUCCAUGAAGUCGGAAUCGCUAGUAAUCGUAGAUCAGAAUGCUACGGUGAAUACGUUCCCGGGCCUUGUACACACCGCCCGUCACACCAUGGGAGUGGGUUGCAAAAGAAGUAGGUAGCUUAACCUUCGGGAGGGCGCUUACCACUUUGUGAUUCAUGACUGGGGUGAAGUCGUAACAAGGUAACCGUAGGGGAACCUGCGGUUGGAUCACCUCCUUACC
rnacentral:rRNA from 1 species